rnacentral:rRNA from 1 species
GUGGGGAAUUUUGGACAAUGGGCGCAAGCCUGAUCCAGCAAUGCCGCGUGCAGGAAGAAGGCCUUCGGGUUGUAAACUGCUUUUGUACGGAACGAAACGGUCCUGGUUAAUACCUGGGGUCCAUGACGGUACCGUAAGAAUAAGCACCGGCUAACUACGUGCCAGCAGCCGCGGUAAUACGUAGGGUGCAAGCGUUAAUCGGAAUUACUGUGCGUAAAGCGUGCGCAGGCGGUUAUAUAAGACAGAUGUGAAAUCCCCGGGCUCAACCUGGGAACUGCAUUUGUGACUGUAUAGCUAGAGUACGGCAGAGGGGGAUGGAAUUCCGCGUGUAGCAGUGAAAUGCGUAGAUAUGCGGAGGAACACCGAUGGCGAAGGCAAUCCCCUGGGCCUGUACUGACGCUCAUGCACGAAAGCGUGGGGAGCAAACAGGAUUAGAUACCCUGGUAGUCC